CUUACGGGGGGCAGCAGUGGGGGAUAUUGGACAAUGGGGGAAACCCUGAUCCAGCGACGCCGCGUGAGUGAAGAAGUAUUUCGGUAUGUAAAGCUCUGUCAGCAGGGAAGAAAGAAAUGACGGUACCUGACCAAGAAGCCCCGGCUAACUACGUGCCAGCAGCCGCGGUAAUACGUAGGGGGCAAGCGUUAUCCGGAUUUACUGGGUGUAAAGGGAGCGUAGACGGCAUGGCAAGUCUGAAGUGAAAGCCCGGGGCUCAACCGCGGGACUGCUUUGGAAACUGUUAAGCUGGAGUGCAGGAGAGG
rnacentral:rRNA from 1 species